rnacentral:ncRNA from 1 species
CUAUCUUCGAGAGGGUCAAGUAACGUAAAAGGCGUUGCUAGUGGGCGGCGCGAGCCCCCGCGACAUCAUCAAAUUGCGGGAACACCCUAAAGCUGGUCGCUACUAAGCGGGCGUGUAGUCAUAUGCUUGUCUCAAAGAUUAAGCCAUGCAUGUCUAAGAGCCCGCCGCGCAAUACCCUGGGGCGGACUGAGGUUCGCGCAUCUUUUACAGUAAAAACGCGCCAGAUGGAACAAUGGGCAAUCCGCAGCCAAGUCCUACGUCCGGUCCCCCCCCUCCCCUGGGGGUGGGGGGCGCCUGGAUAUGGAUGCAGUUCAACGACUAAACGGUGAUGGGCUGGCGCAGGGAGGUGCGGCCUGCACGCUCCUGCGCCCCGGCUUAAGAUAUAGUCUACUCCUGCUCCGAGAGGAGAGG